AACUUUCGGCAAUGGAUCUCUUGGCUCUCGCAUCGAUGAAGAACGCAGCGAAUUGCGAUAAGUAAUGUGAAUUGCAGAUUUCGAGUGAAUCAUCGAAUCUUUGAACGCCUCUUGCGCUCCUUGGUAUUCCGAGGAGCAUGCCUGUUUGAGUGUCAUUUAAACUUCUCAAUCCACAUUGAUUCUAUCGGUGUGGGGUUUGGAUGUGGGGGUUAUCAUUUUUGCAGGCUUCUGUGAAACAGAGGUCGGCUCCCCUGAAAUGUAUUAGUGGUAUCUGAGCUACUGCCAUUGGGUUGAUAAUUAUCUAUGCCUUUGGUAUGCUGCAUGAACAGAUUGCACCGCUUCUAACAAGUGGUUGUUGAACCACAUCUUGAUGAAUUUGACCUCAAAUCAGGUAGGACUACCCGCUGAACUUAAGCAUAUCAAUAAGCGGAGGC
rnacentral:misc_RNA from 1 species